rnacentral:rRNA from 1 species
AUGUCGGAUGAAGGCAGUUGUGCGGCGGACACGGGUGAUGAGAAACUUCUAACUGAUAGCGAGGAUUCAGCUCAGAGUGGUGUCCGCCCAUUGCCGCAAGCACCAACUUCCUGUAUGUCUAUCAAGCAUGUUGUCGAGGUCAUUCAGACUUUCAACGAGUACAAGCGAUUUCUUGUUAAGAGCAUUGGGUUUGGUGGAAUGCUUGAUCUCCAAAUGCUGCAGAAAUUAAAUUUUAAAUUCAGCGCCUGGACAAUGAGCAAAACAGACCCCUGGUGCAGGGGAGUUGUCCCUGGUGCAGGGGAGUUGUCCCGUACCCAUCACAAGCUGGUGUUGCUCAACUAA